rnacentral:rRNA from 1 species
GACGAACGCUGGCGGCGUGCCUAAUACAUGCAAGUGGGACGCAAGGGAACACACUGUGCUUGCACACCGUGUUUUCUUGAGUCGCGAACGGGUGAGUAACGCGUAGGUAACCUGCCUAUUAGCGGGGGAUAACUAUUGGAAACGAUAGCUAAUACCGCAUAAUAUUAAUUAUUGCAUGAUAAUUGAUUGAAAGAUGCAAGCGCAUCACUAGUAGAUGGACCUGCGUUGUAUUAGCUAGUUGGUAAGGUAAGAGCUUACCAAGGCGACGAUACAUAGCCGACCUGAGAGGGUGAUCGGCCACACUGGGACUGAGACACGGCCCAGACUCCUACGGGAGGCAGCAGUAGGGAAUCUUCGGCAAUGGACGAAGGUCUGACCGAGCAACGCCGCGUGAGUGAAGAAGGUUUUCGGAUCGUAAAGCUCUGUUGUAAGUCAAGAACGUGUGUGAGAGUGGAAAGUUCACACAGUGACG